rnacentral:lncRNA from 1 species
GGGAGACUAUGUCGAAACAUGGAGAGUAAUGAAUUCACAACAAAAUAACUGUCCAGGAAAGAAAAAAAAAACAACAACAGAAUAUGAUCUAUGGAGAGAAUGCAAUGUGCUGGAGGCAAAAUGUAAAAAGAAAGAUGUAUUAACCAGACAUAGUCUCAAAGCAAGAAAGAAAAAAGCUUGAGGCUUUCUACCUUCAUUAAAAUAGCAAGAACAUGAAAGCAUUUGCUAAACUGGCUACCUG